UAUUAUUCGGCCAUAAAAAGAUGGAGACUUCUGACCUAUACAGCCCUGUGCUACAGGGGUGAUGGCCAGUCCUAGUGUCUGAGUGACU
rfam:Otolemur garnettii contig016723, whole genome shotgun sequence.